rnacentral:rRNA from 1 species
CUUACCAGGUCUUGACAUCCCUCUGACCGGCUUAGAGAUAAGCCUUUCCUUCGGGACAGAGGUGACAGGUGGUGCAUGGUUGUCGUCAGCUCGUGUCGUGAGAUGUUGGGUUAAGUCCCGCAACGAGCGCAACCCUUGAACUUAGUUGCCAGCAGGUUGAGCUGGGCACUCUAAGUUGACUGCCGGUGACAAACCGGAGGAAGGCGGGGAUGACGUCAAAUCAUCAUGCCCCUUAUGACCUGGGCUACACACGUACUACAAUGGCCGGUACAACGGGAAGCGAAGGAGCGAUCCGGAGCCAAUCCUAUAAAAGCCGGUCUCAGUUCGGAUUGCAGGCUGCCACUCGCCUGCAUGAAGUCUGAAUUGCUGGGAAUC